GCGGCCGUAGCUCAAUGGUAGAGCUCCAGAUUGUGGUUCUGGCUGUUGCGGGUUCGAGUCCCGUCGGCCGCCCCG
rnacentral:tRNA from 1 species